rnacentral:rRNA from 1 species
UACAGAGGGGGCAAGCGUUGUUCGGAAUUACUGGGCGUAAAGGGCGCGUAGGCGGCCGCCUAAGUCAGACGUGAAAUCCCUCGGCUCAACCGGGGAACUGCGUCUGAUACUGGGUGGCUUGAAUCCGGGAGAGGGAUGCGGAAUUCCAGGUGUAGUGGUGAAAUGCGUAGAUAUCGGGAGGAACACCAGUGGCGAAGGCGACUACCUGGCCUGUUCUUGACGCUGAGGCGCGAAAGCUAGGGGAGCAAACGGG